rnacentral:sRNA from 12 species
GAUCUUUGACAUAUUUGGUAAGCGAUAGUAACAAAACAAGAGAUAAUCAUGUGGGGACGCACAUCCCCACCAGUGACUAACCGCCCUUCGGGGCACUAUCGUUAGCCCUAGACCUAUUGUGCUAGGGGAGAAGCCAAGGAGAGGCAGCGGGUGAGUAAGCACUCCCUCCACCACUUGCUUGGACACUCGGUGAGCGAAACACCCUGACGAUGC